UAAAGAGACUUAACUCAUGAAGACAAACUGAAGACAAACCAAGGGAAGCAUGAAUAAAUAGAUUUGUAAAAUAAAGCCACUGGGACUAGUCUGGUAAAAUGAAUGUUGAGACAAAAGAAGGCAAAUUAACAGUUCUGUAGUAAAGAACGAGUUACUCAAUGGCAUAGUCUACAUGAUAUUAAUCUGUAAUUAUAGGUUUUAAUAUGAUAUCUCACAGAAUAACCUAAACUGGCAGAGGCCAAAUUAGAAUAACAAGAGUUGAUUAAUGAAUAGUCUCCAUGAAAUUUUUAUAUUGUAAACUAAUUGAAUAUAAGAGCAUGUUGGGUAAAAUUGAUUUCCUUUCUUUGAACUUCUGAGCAAUGAUUUCAUGUGCCAGUCAUUUUAAAUAUAUCGGACUUUUUGAUUCUUCACUCACUUUUUCAUGUGUCUAAUCUUCAUCUGCUCUGUAAACUCCAUGAAGGCAGAUACUAUAUUUAAUAGUUCUUUUGCACCUAGCAGAAGAGGAAAUCAGUAAUACCUUUAAAAUCUCUGUUUUCAGCACAUAGUUUCACUCAAAAUAUUUUAUUAUUUUUUAAUCAGAGUGAUUCACUAAGGAAAACUAAAGUGACUAAGCCUAUCAUCAGUUCUUCUAAAAUAUGUCUCAUAAAUGAGGUGACCAUAUAGUCUGGUCUCCUUGAGACUGCUCCUUUAUUUUUGUCUGUUAUACAGGGUAGUUAUUAAUAGCUUUUCCUUUCACUCUUAAAAUAUCUAGGUUUAGAUAAAUUAUUUUGUUCAUCCUACCAUAGUUCAUGAUAUCAGAGUCUGAAAUAAUCAAUGAGUCUGACUGACUUUGCAUUCCAAAUGGGUAUCUAUGGGACCUAGAUUAUCCAAUUUUAAAAAAAAGAAGAAAGAAUAUAUAUUUUAGUUAAGGCUUAUGAACUCAUUUGAUAGACUAUUUUAAUAACAUAAAAUGAAAAAAAAAACAAAAAGUACAGAACUGUAAAUAGAAUACUUGCAGUAAUAUUCCCCCAUUUGUCUCAUUGAAUGUGAUAAAAAAAAUGACUUUAUCAAAAUUCUUUUUUUUUUUUUUUGGUUUUUUAGGGAAGCACCCAUGGUAUAUGGAGGUUCGCAGGCUAGGGGUAGAAUCGGAGCUGUAGCCGCUGGCCUAUGCCACAGCCACAGCAAUACCAGAACCGAGCCACAUCUGCAACCUACACCACAACCUCAGGGCAACACCAGAUCCUUAACCCACUGAGUGAGGCCAGAGAUCGAGCCUGCAUCCUCAUAGUUUGCAUCAAAACAAAAUUUAAAUAUGUAGCUCAAGAAAUACAAUGUAUUAAUUUCUAAACUCUGUGAAGUUAGCCUAAAAAUGCUUAAGAAAUGAUUUUGUCUUUCAUUUGCUUGAGUUUUAUAGAUUAGAAAGUAUGUAAUAAGUAAAAUACUACAAAAUAAGCAUAGAUCAGCUCAGGGGACUGAGAAAUUUAAUCUAUAAUUUUUUUUCAUUUGCACAUAAAUGUUCAUAAUCUCUUUGCAAACGCUGAAAGCGAAUCUGCACAAUAAUAGUGGUUAACACUGAGAAUUAUUCAGUUUUAGAGCCAGACCACUUUUAAACUUUAGGUCUGUCCUCAAGGCUAAGUAUAAUUAUCCCAACUCCUUAUGCCCAUUGUUUGUCUUAUCCAUAAUGAGUUCUACAACCUCUUUUAUAGUAUUUCAUAAUUAUCUUUAUUUCAGAAUAUGCAUUUUAAAAUAUUUUAAUGGUUUACCGUUAAAUGGACAAUAAGCAUAUGCAUUAUUUUCCAGUACACAAUAUUUUACUGUAAUACUGCACAAUUUUUAACAUCCUUCUUUUGAUGUUUCAGAAAUAUUUUUCUCUCUGAGUGAAGAGUUAAUGACUGAGCAGGAUUUUAAAGCUCCUUUAUUUCUUUUUUUUCUUCUUUCUUUGUCUUUUUGUUUUUUAGGGCCACACCUGCAGCAUAUGGAGGUUCCCAAGCUAGGGGUCCAACUGCAGCUGUAGUUGUCGGCCUACACCACAGCCACAGCAACAUGGGGGCUCCGAGCUGUGUCUGUGACCUACACCACAGUUCACAGCAAUGCCGGAUCCUUAACCCACUGAGCCAGGCCAGGGAUCGAACCAGCAUUCUCUGGGAUGCUAGUUGGGUUUGCUAACUUCUGAGCCACGACGGGAACUCCAAAGCUCCUUUAUUUUUUUGAGCUUUUCUCUCUCUCUCUCUCUCUCUCACACACACACACACACAAACACAAAUGAGGUGAAUAAAUAAAGCUAUGCUUAAAAUAGUUAACUACAUGCCUAGAUUUAAAGGCUGAUGGCCCAGCUGUUAGUACCAACAAAAAUCCCAGGAAAGCUAUAUGUAGCAUUAUCAGAUUGUGGUCAUGGAAAAGCCAAGCAAUACAAUUGCAUGGUGCUUUUCACUCUGUAGACAGAUGUAGGGCAUGCUCAAAAAUCAGAAAGCACAUUCCUG
rnacentral:lncRNA from 1 species